rnacentral:rRNA from 1 species
AUGAAGAUGGCGACUUGCAUUCGUAAGGUGGCCUCGGAGGAGUUUGGAGUGUCCAGGGAAAGGAGAAGCGAAGAUAAGGAUACCUGGUGGUGGAAUGAUGAUGUCCAGAAGGCGAUUAAAGAGAAAAAAGAUUGCUUCAGACGCCUAUACCUGGAUAGGAGUGCAGACAACGUAGAGCAAUACAAGAUGGCGAAGAAGGCCGCAAAGCGAGCUGUUGGUGAAGCAAGGGGUCGGGCAUAUGAGGACCUCUACCAACGAUUAGGCACGAAGGAAGGUGAAAGGGACAUCUAUAAGAUGGCUAAGAUCCGGGAGAGGAAGACGAGGGAUAUUGGCCAAGUCAAAUGCAUCAAGGACGGAGCAGGCCAACUCUUGGUGAAGGACGAAGAGAUUAAGUAUAGAUGGCGGAAGUACUUCGACAAGCUGUUCAAUGGGGAGAAUGAGAGUUCUACCAUUGAACUGGACGACUCCUUUGAUGAGACCAGCAUGCGUUUUGUGCGGCGCAUCCAGGAGUCUGAGGUGAAGGAUGCUUUAAAAAGGAAGAAAGGAGGCAAGGCGAUGGGCCCUGAUUGUAUCCCCAUUGAGGUGUGGAAAGGUCUCGGGGACAUAGCGAUAGUAUGGCUAACCAAGUUUUUCAACCUCAUUUUUCGGGCAAACAAGAUGCCAGAAGAAUGGAGACGGAGUAUAUUAGUACCAAUCUUCAAGAACAAGGGGGAUGUUCAGAGUUAUACUAAUUACCGUAGAAUUAAGCUGAUGAGCCAUACAAUGAAGCUAUGGGAGAGAGUCAUUGUGCACCGCUUAAGAAGAAUGACAAGCGUGACCAAAAAUCAGUUUGGUUUCAUGCCUGGGAGGUCGACCACGGAAGCCAUUUUCUUGGUACGAUAA